rnacentral:rRNA from 1 species
CAUUCACGGAGAGUUUGAUCCUGGCUCAGGACGAACGCUGGCGGCGUGCUUAACACAUGCAAGUCGAACGAUGAACCGCUUUCGGGCGGGGAUUAGUGGCGAACGGGUGAGUAACACGUGGGCAAUCUGCCCUGCACUCUGGGACAAGCCCUGGAAACGGGGUCUAAUACCGGAUAUGACUGUCCAUCGCAUGGUGGAUGGUGUAAAGCUC